UACAGGGGGUGCAAACGUUUGCUCGGAAUUACUGGGCGUAAAGCGCACGUAGGCGGCUUUGUAAGUUAGAGGUGAAAGCCCAGGGCUUAACCCUGGAAUUGCCUUUAAGACUGCAUCGCUAGAAUCGUGGAGAGGUGAGUGGAAUUCCGAGUGUAGAGGUGAAAUUCGUAGAUAUUCGGAAGAACACCAGUGGCGAAGGCGACUCACUGGACACGUAUUGACGCUGAGGUGCGAAAGCGUGGGGAGCAAACAGG
rnacentral:rRNA from 1 species